CCUACGGGUGACAGCAGUGAGGAAUAUUGGUCAAUGGACGCAAGUCUGAACCAGCCAUGCCGCGUGCAGGAAGACGGCUCUAUGAGUUGUAAACUGCUUUUGUACGAGGGUAAACGCAGAUACGCGUAUCUGUCUGAAAGUAUCGUACGAAUAAGGAUCGGCUAACUCCGUGCCAGCAGCCGCGGUAAUACGGAGGAUUCAAGCGUUAUCCGGAUUUAUUGGGUUUAAAGGGUGCGUAGGCGGUCGGAUAAGUUAGAGGUGAAAUCCCGAGGCUCAACUUCGGAAUUGCCUCUGAUACUGGUCGGCUAGAGAGUAGUUGCGGUAGGUGGAAUGUAAGGUGUAGCGGUGAAAUGCUUAGAGAUCAUACAGAACACCGAUUGCGAAGGCAGCUUACCAAGCUACUUCUGACGUUGAGGCACGAAAGCGUGGGUAGCAAACAGGAUUAGAUACCCCAGUAGUC
rnacentral:rRNA from 1 species